CGCGCUCCGUGCACGCUCGCGCUCCUGCAGUCAGACGCGCCAUUUUGAUUUUGAGAAAAACACACGAGUCCAGAGAGAGUCAGAACCGAGACCCCUGACCCGGACCCGGCCGAGCAGCGGGCCUCUGGUCACUACACUGGACACUGAAGUUUCUGCAGAUGAACCACUGGAUUAAUCAAUAAGUCAGAUGGCGUAACCAGCAGCUCUUUUUUAACAAGUCGCCCUUGGGAAGGUUGUAACGAGUGGAUUUAUUGAUGAGUAAUCAUUUGCUGGCUGUACAGAUCAUCACUGACCUUCUGGAGGAGAGCUGCAUUCAUGACUGCAGACCAGAUGAUCGUUGUAAUAAUCCUUCAUUAAUGACUUAGCAUUAGCAUUUAUAGCUGCUGACUUGACAUUUAUUGUUAGAAACACAGUCGACAACAUCUCAGCUAUAAGAACACAGUCGAUAUAGACGAGGAACAGCCGCUCACGCAGCAGAGCUUCUUCUCUUCAGCUGAAAAUCCUCCGGUGUGAUUUGUUGUGACCUGAAUAAUUCAGAUCUCUCUGCGUUGGUCCAGUUGUUUCCCUGCAGCUCCACAUACUGAUGGAUUUAUUCCGGCGCUGAACUGUGUCAAAUACAUCUUUAAAAUCCACAUUUAUUAUCAGAUAAAACAUGAUGUGUAUCUUCAGGUUUUUUCUUCCAGCAGGAGCGUCAGCACCGUGUGACGGAGCAGACGGAGCUGCUCCACCAUGUGCGUGUCUCAUUACAGUCUACUACACUGUAAUCACAUCCUGGAGGUAACGUGUGAUUACAGACACCACCCGCCCACUUCCUGCUCAGCCUCUGUCCACUCACACUCAGUAGUUUGAACAAAGAUAAAACUGGAUCAUUAAACUCAGAUCAGACACGCGGCUGAACAACCACAGACACAAACAAACUUCUGACAAAAUGGCUGCAAAGCCUCCGUCACUGAACGUUCCAUUUAAAUUGAGAAGAUGAUUGAGAGAAUGUGGAUAAGAGAACGUUCAGGUAAACAUCAUCAGUGUGUCUCAUAUCUCUGAUAUAUAUUGUUUAGUCUUAGUCGUGUCGUCCAGUCUCUCCUGUGAACACUGAGUCUCUGAGCAUCGGUCCGUCUUCACGUCUCUGUCCUGUUCUAACUGUGAUGAGACUGUUUUCACUUCUGAUGUUGAUCUCUUCACAUCUCAGACCAACAACAACUCAAACUGCAUGUUUAAACUCCCUGAUUGUAGCUGGAUCAUUUAGAUUUCGCCUCAGAGAUCAGGGCAGUUACACUGUGCAGUUACAGGAAUCAAGUUUUAAUAAAUGAGAAUUGUGUUAAUUUAACUGGAGGGGGAACAUUUCGGUGGUUUUAAAAAUGGGUCAGCUUCUGAAGACAGGCAGCUGUCCAGUUUGUUGUGGUUGUGUUUACAUGGUUUCCAUCAUGGAGGAGUGGGUCCAGAUGGUCCAGCAGCUUCAGACCCGUCAGAUCAUCCGUAUUAAUGAUGAUGAAGGAUUGUGUGUCUGAGCUGCAGUGAAUGUGAACAUGUCUCCUCUCUGACGGCUCCUACCUGCAGUGUUUGUGCUCAUAAAAUCCUGACUCAUCGCCCUUUAAUUGAGCAUUACAUCACUGACAACAUCACAGCGUGUCAGCAGCGGACGGGAGGGGGAGCAGCUCCGCUUUGUGUCCGCAGAGGAAGCAGCUCUCCGCGGCUCUGAUUGAACGCAUGCUGCAGCAGAGGGACACUCCCCCUAAAAAAUCCUGCGCCUUUACUCUGGGCAGUACGGUAACAGCACAGCGCCCAGCCGCUUCGUCAGAGGGGGCGGGGCCAGUGGAGGCGGAGUCAGUCCUUUUGUUUUGAGGAGCUGCAGUAGGACACGCCCCCUCCCCCCGCGGCCCCAGCUCCCCCUGUGGCCGGCCUUGUGAAGCCGAGAGGCGGCCUGCAGCUCGGCAGCGGCCCGCUGACUGGCUGGAUGUCUGCUUGCUGCUGUUUUUUUUAAGUUUCCGUUUGCAUGCCUGGUGGUGUGAAGGCAACAUGUGAAUGUAAAGCUGUUAUGUCACCAGAGUGUGUUUACAGUACACCAUGACAGCAGAGGGGAAGUGGCUUUCAUCAUUUCCUCCUGAUUUCUUUUAGUUGGCACGAAUCACUGACUUCAUCCUGCAAGAAGAAACUGAAAAGUGCAGUAAUCAUCACUUUAACUGCACACACCCUUUAAUAUAAACCAGCACUGGCUUCAUGUGCUGCCUUCACUUGAUGUCCUGUAAACAGAACAUCAGACUGUUUACAUGAUUGUUAUUAAUGCCAGUUAUCAGACCUGGUGACAGUAUUGAUUCUGUGAUUUUGAGCUAUCAGUGAUCACAGUUAGGUUUUCUUAACUUGAAUAGAAACUUAUUUGAUGGAGAUUCUGCUCGAAACUGAAAACUUUACCGAGGAUUUAAGGAUUGAAAUGAAAGGUUGUAUAAGCAUGUGCAUAAUUAUGUUUUUGGUGUGUUGUCAUAAUAAAUCCAUGUGUGUUGAAGCCCAAUCUGCCAGAACAAGAACAAAUAAAGUGUAAAACAAAUACUUUUGAAUGUAAAGCAAAGUAAAAAUUGAGAUUUUAAGGACAGUUGGGAGCUAAAUAAAAUACUCUUUCACCUACACUCAGGUGAAACAGAACAAAGAAUUUCAUGUUGAAACUGAUACAUGUUGUUUGAAGCCUAAAAGUUCACUGUAGCUGCUGAGCUAGCACUGUUAGCAUCACUGUGUCGAUGGUGUAAAUCUGGUCUGAGAUCAGUUAGUGAUGUGUUCUCUGCUGCAGACUGUGAUCACAGCAGACGAGCUGAUGGAAGUCUCAGUUGCUUCAGUUGCUCAGCAGAACGCUGCAACUCUUUUACUGUGAAGCUCCAGAACUGUUCUGUGGACACUUCACCUGACUUUAUCUGGAGGGAGGAGAGGAUUACAUUUACAUCUGUGAAGUUUGAUUUUUGGGUGAACUGUUCCUUUAAUAAAGCUGAUUUCCUACUUGGUCCUUUUUGUCCUCAAACCUUCAGCUUCAUUACAAACUCAGUCAGAAUCUCAAGCUUUCAUUCAUCCACCGUCAGACUUCCCCUGCAGGCGUCAUGUGUUUUUCCACUGGAUCAUUU